rnacentral:rRNA from 1 species
UACAGAGGGGGCAAGCGUUAUUCGGAAUUAUUGGGCGUAAAGGGCGCGUAGGCGGCAUUGCAAGUGGAAGGUGAAAUCCCUCGGCUCAACUGAGGAAUUGCCUUUGAAACUGCCUGGCUCGAGGCCGGGAGGGGGUAGCGGAAUUCCCAGUGUAGCGGUGAAAUGCGUAGAUAUUGGGAGGAACACCGGUGGCAGAGGCGGCUACCUGGACCGGUUCUGACGCUGAUGCGCGAAAGCGUGGGGAGCAAACAGGG